rnacentral:misc_RNA from 1 species
ACACUAGUCGCUGGCUCACUGUUAGAAAGUCUUUCGCCGAUUGGCGACGAUAUUCAGUUAAAGUCUGGUAGAAAAUUGGUGUAAAAUGUCUUUAGCUACAUAUGCGAUAUUUUUGUAAAUGAGUGAACUACCACCCGACGAGGUUAGGCGUCGCCGCCUGGCUAGGUUGAACCAAGGUACCAUGUCAUCAUCCCAUCCUCCAUCUGACAGUCACUCUAUUCCUGUAAGGACAAGCUUAAAACCCUUGGCAGAAGGUUCUGCAGUGAGCACUCAGGACAGUGGUUAUGGCUCUUUAUCACAAUCUUUCGAGUUUGAUGAACAAUCACAGGACACUGGUGAUAAAUGUGGCAAGCGCACCUCCCCAACUUGUUCUUCUUCUCCUUCAGAGAAUUUUAAAUUCAAGAGGACGAGAGAUGGAUUUGACAAAGAUGACACUUCUCAUGUUAAGAUGAGUAGUGUGACUGAUGAACAUAUUGUAAAAAGUAUUUGCAGUAUAUUUAAAGUUUCCUUUAAGAGCUCAGAGGUUUCCUGUGACACAGUUUACUUACCAACACUAGCUGAGGAUCUUAGUCAAGUUGAUCUAAGCUCAGGAACUGUUUGUAAUGUCAUAAACCAAGUGAUCAUGGAGCGUCUAACCCAGUUUCGUGCACAUCAAGAUGGAAUGAGUGUUAGUCCUACACUUACAAUUGCGCAGGAAACCUCGCAAAUGGCUAUUGAUGAUAACUUAACUGACUGCAGGUCAACUGAAUGUAUCAGUUUAUUAGGGGAGGGCAGAGCCAAUCCUUCACCACCAAACUGUGUAAAAGAGUCAACCACUGUGUAUCAGUCCAAGCUGCUUAAAUAUUUGGUUAAUAGCUAUAAUUGCUCACUGAAUGAAGAAAAAAACUAUCCCAAGAGAUCCCAGGAGGAAAGAUGGAUAACGUUGUUAACUCAGGCUCGUCGCCAGUGUGUGUUGUUUUCAGUGCUUAUUCUUCAAGGAUGUUUUUCUCUGGACAGGUCAGUCCUUCAGAGAUCACCCUUGGUACACUUAUUUAUCAAUGAAGAAUGUGACAUUCCUUUCACUUUCCUUGUUGAACUUGUCACAACAGUAGCAAGUGACUCACAUUUAUGUAUGAAGAUUUUUAAGCCAGUGCUGUUGAGCUUAAAUCAAGAAAUGCAAAAUUGUCAUCUUGCAGCUGAAGGAUUUAAAGCUCCCCUGUUGGCACUGUCAAAACUGUGCGAUAUCCGCCUGGGAACAACUUCAGUGAGACCUAUUUGUAACUUGAUGGUUGCGUUAUCCAACAUGUGGAUCCCAUCACCCUUAUCAAAAGCUGAAGGAAAAGAAAUUGAGAGACUGUCUCUCAUUGGACCAUUUCUCAGUCUGUCAGUAUUUUCUGAAGAAUGUCCGCAGAUUGUUGAUCGUUACUUUUCCGAGUCAUCAGAAAAUGUUAAGCUGGUGAAUGUGACUUUGAGAAGUGCCCUUCGCAUUGUUAGGACAGAGGUAUUCAAGAUAAUUCAUAGUAUGCUUGUGUCUACGGAGAGUCGGGAUGCUUGUUUACAAUUCAUUGCUUCAGUCUUAGCAAGAAAUUACCGCAAGGCACAGCUACAGGUUGAUGAUAGACAAGUUGCUUCCGAUGGAUUUAUGUUAAACUUCAUGACUGUAUUGCAACAACUGUGUGCAAAGGUUAAAAUUGAGAAGGUUGAUAGUUUGUAUCUCCAUCAUCCCAAAUCAAGAGUGAACAUCUCACAAGAGUCCAGGUUGAAACUUACUUCACAGCAAGUUAAAGAAUGGAAACAGGAACUAGAUAGUAAAAAUGCGUGGUUGGAACCAAAAUUUCCCACUGAGUGUUUCUUUAUGGCCAUUCAAGCCCAUCAUUUAGCAAUUUUACCGGCUUGUAGAAGACAUUCUCGACGACAAAAAGCUCACCGGGAGUUAACACGCAUGAUUGAACAUCUGGAAUCCCAUGAAAGCGAGUGGAUAGAUACUCCGAUGGCCUCUAGAAACAAGGGUCUGUUAAAGAAAUGGAGAGAGCAGAUCAAGAAACUAGAAAAUGGUAAGGCUUGCUCGGAUGUCGUUUUACUUGAUGAUGAACUUCUGCGUGGCUGUUUAAAGUUCUAUGGGUUUUUGGCUACAUGGAUCUUGAGACUAGUGGAUCCUAACAAAAAAGGGAUCAGUAUCCCUUUGCCAGAAAAGAUUGCCAUGGAGCUUGCGUCCCUUCCGGACUAUUUUGUCGGUGAUGUGGCUGAGUUUUUGCUCUUUGUCAACAUGCAUGCACACCACGUGCUGGAGGAUCCUGCCAUGAAUGACAUUGUCACCUUUUUUGUUGUAUUUGUUUGUUCACCAAACUACAUAUCAAAUCCUUAUCUUGUGGCGAAAAUUGUCGAGGUAUUGUUUGUGAUGAAUCCCAGCAUUCAACCAGCAGCCUCAAAGAUCCAUGAGAUGAUUGUCUCUCAUCCAUUGGCGUUGGACCAUUUAGCCCCAGCACUUAUGAAUUUUUAUACAGAUGUAGAAACGACUGGCAGCUCAAAUGAGUUUUAUGAUAAGUUUAGUAUAAGAUAUCACAUUUCCAUAAUCAUGAAAAGUUUAUGGCAAGAUGUGGGCCACAGGGGAGCCAUCAUGAAGCAAAGCAGGACGGUUCAGUUUGUUCGCUUUGUAAACAUGUUGAUUAAUGACACAACAUUUCUGCUGGAUGAAUCCUUGGAUUCAUUAAAAAGCAUCAAUGAAACUCAGCAGAUGAUGGCCAAUGUAGCAGACUGGGAGGCAUUACCAAGGGACAUGCGUACCUCUCGUCUUCGACAACUUUCCACUGACGAGCGGCAGUGCCGGUCUUAUCUUACCCUUGCCUCGGAGACAUUAGAUAUGAUGCUUUACCUCACUAAACAUGUACAGGCGCCUUUUCUUAGGCCGGAAUUGAUUGAUCGAAUAGCUGCUAUGUUGAAUUUUAACCUACAACAACUUUGUGGACCGAAGUGCAGGAAUUUAAAGGUUAAAAACCCAGAAAAAUAUGGAUUUGAACCCAAGACUCUUCUGGAUAGAUUAACACAGAUUUAUGUGAAUCUAGACUCGGAAGAAUUUGCAAAAGCUGUUGCUGGUGACCAGCGAUCAUAUAGGAGAGAAUUAUUUUCCGACGCCGCGAAACAUCUUCACAAAACCUUGCUGAAGACAGGCAGAGAUUUACCGGUUUAAAGAAUUUGCCUCAAAGGUAGAAAUCAAAGCUGCCGAAAACGCUGCUCGCAAUGAGGACUAUGAUGAUGCACCGGAUGAGUUUAAAGAUCCUCUCAUGAUGACGCUCAUGCUUGAGCCUGUGAUCCUACCAACUAGUGGUAAAAUUAUGGAUAGGGCAGUUAUCACGCGCCAUUUAUUAAACUCUGACACGGAUCCUUUUAAUCGACAACCACUUACAACUGACAUGCUACAGC